GACCUAUUUAACCUGUAUUCAGAGAACAAACUAAGAACAAACACACAGAACUUCACAAAAAUUCCACGAUUUCUUCCUCGCGGACCAUAUCUGCUACUCCUAACACAAAGACCAAAUAUUACUGUAAAUAACCAGAAAAAAAUAGAAGAGACCGACCUUUUCCCGAAGGGGCACCGUUCUUCCCUCGUCCUCCCCACCGGGGAGCUUAUCGGUACUCCUCGCCCCGCUAUCGCUGUCAUUCAUCUUUCUUUCACCGACUUCUUCCUUGAUCUCGUCCCCAACCAACCCUUUGACCUCGCCCUCGCCCUCCAGAAACCUAAUCUCCUCUCUCGACUUGGCGGACGUGUUCACCGGGUUCUCAUUCAUCGAAGGCACCUUGUUCCUCGGCGCCCUCCUCCUCCUGGCGGCGGUUGGUCUCUCGGCUUGGACUAUCGGGUUAGCCUGCGCUCGCCCCUUCCGCACUCCUCUACGAAGCUC
rnacentral:lncRNA from 1 species